UAUGUUUCUGUGAACUAGAAUAAAAAAUAAAUCAUAAAUGUAAUGUUCAGGGGUAAGCGUGUCUAAUACCUAAGCGGGUGUCCCUUAUGACUUAGAACAAUGCAUCUUUUUUGCCAAAAUUUGGGAUGGGGGUGAAAUGAGGUAUAAAACUUGGGGGUUCUGGAAAUAUUCAAAUCUGACAUCAUCUAUCACCGUGAAUCGUCCUACUGCAGAGGCAUUUGUGAAGCGAUUCAUCAUGGCUGAGCGACCUGACCAGGCAAGUAUGUAAAUUGUAGUUUUUUCAUUUUCUACUAUAUCGUUGUAUUAUCUCUGAUUUAAUACAUGUUCUUUUUUGUUUGUGUUGUUAGUAUGAGUUGGAAUAUCUACGGUUCCUGCAAAUCCGAAGUACCUCAUCUGACAGCGGCUUUAGCGGUGACAACUACAGCCCGGCAUCUCCGAGCCCAAGCUUUUACCCCGAAGAUCCCGAUGUUGUCCAGAGGGGUCGUCCGAAUUCACCAACCCUGAGCAUGUACCAAG